ACCAAAAUCCCCUUUCUCUACCGUUCUCUCUACCGCUGUGGUUUGGAUAGGCGCGGCCAUGGGUUAGGCAAGGGAGAGCACUGGAGAACGCGGCAAUCUACUGGACCUCGUCAUGUACGGCAGCUAGCUGUUGUGGCGACGGGUCUGGAGGUUGGUGGCGCGGAGGAGGCGGUGACGCAUCUGACGGAGGGCACACUGGUUCGCUGAGUUCCCGGAUGAACUCGUGCAUGCUGAUCUUCCAAGCCGGUUGUACCAAAUCGAGUGGGCUGCAAGUGCGUUGUCUUGGAGGCCAUUCCUGACCGAGGCAUGGUCCGCGCGGUCAAGCUACUGCUGUUGCGCCGGUCACCAGGGAGACCGCAUCUUGCGUCGCUAAUCUGGAAACGCAGAUGCCGGUCGCCGGGGAGGUCACGGGUGCGGGGACAGAGAACUUUGGCGUCGCGUUGAAAGGCAUGUUGUUACUUUUUCGUCCCAGGCUAAGGAAGAGCAACAGGACGAAGGGAGGAAGACAAGAAAAUUAUGACAAUUUAGUUCAUGGUCUAGGAGCAAGGAAAGUACACAUCCAUCUUUGUGAUAUUGAUAGGCAUAAUACUACAUACAGACUCUCUCAAUUGUGUAGAUAGGUCAUCAAGUAACGGUUAGCAGUUCAUGCUUCUGCUUCACCUUUUAGUUAAUUAUCCGCUUUUAAGUAUUUGUUGUUGAAGUGAGCAUCAAAUUGCAGGAAUUUUGUAAUUCAUCAGUAGAAUUAUCCGCUUCAUUCGCUUUUGUUAUAACGACAGGCAUUUUGUAACAUCUUGCCGAAGUGCGCAUUUUGUAGAGAUUAUCCGUUUUUAAGUAUUUUAUUUAAUGUGUCAAUCUCCGGUUGUAAUCCUAGAAGGCAGUAAAUGUGCACUUGUGUUUUGCUAAUGCAACAGAGUAUCUAUGAGAUUAGUAAUUAUCUGUAUAACAUGGAAAUUCUUCAGAACUGUAAUUUUGAAUGAAGCUAUUUUCUGAUAUUUGAAUCUUGCCAAAAAUGAACAUGAGUGAUAUAACCCAUAUAACAAAACAGAUGAUAGUUGUCUUUGCAAGUUGCACUGCAAAGAUUGCUUUUUAGUGAAGUUAUCCUUGGCGGUGUUAGAUAAGUAUUAACGUGACUGUUUACUUGGUUAAGAUUACAUUCACGUUAUUUCUUCUAACCUUUUAAUCUCUAUACACAGCUAGCUACAGCUUGGGACAACUGCUAGAAGAAUGAACGGAUGAUUCCUCUACAGCAACGCCCGAGGUCAGGUUCUAUGCGAGUGCAGCAGUGCUGGCGGUGUCGGCCAUGGUUGUAGCAUGUGCACUUGCCGAGGGUCGAUGAGGCUUUGAUGAUGGCGCUAGCAAAGAAGGCAUGGAGCAAAUGGAGACGGGGUUCCUUUGUGACAACGUAUGGGAGGCUGAUGGGUUCCCUUGGAAGUUGGAACAAUGCGAUGUUGCCGAGACAGCACACUGGGUUCCAAUUCCAGUUGGACGAAUAGUAUGUACGUGAUUCAUUCACUCUUUUGAUCAUUCCUUAUUGCACGUACUGCAGUUGGAGGAUAUACCAAUAUAAUGGAUGGAUCUACUAAAUAUUAACAUGCCAAGUACGACAGUACAUGCCAACUAACUGAGCUAUAUAUGGUGUGACACUGACGAUCUACGCGCUUCCUCCCUAAGUGUUGUUUGCUGACUGCCGGGCCUUCCAUGGGAUGUUGUGCGCAGAUAAUUUUGUGGGAAGUCUUACCGUCCCUAUUUCAUAGAAAAAAAUCCAGGUUGCUGAGUUUUGGCCUUAAGGUGCAGCAUUGAUAAGGAAAUUAUGCAUCUUUUGAGGUUACUGAUAUUUAACCAUCUCAUGUCUAUCAAUAGUGCAUACAUUAUGGUUGAUAAAAAUAUCUUGCCAUGUCAAAUGCAUAAUGUUGUAAUUCCUCCAUUCCAUAAUGUAGUGCACCCACGCUUUUUGAGAUAAAGUUUGACCAUAAAUUUAACUAACAUGGUUAAAUUUAUGGUCAAACUUAAAUCUCGAAAAGCGCUGACGCACUACAUUACGGAAUGGAGGGAGUAUAUGAUAAGUUUGGGUGUAGCUCUGUGUUAGUGCCAGUUGCUUAUUAUGCGCUUAACCUAUUGUAUCUUUUUACCACACAGAUUAAUUAAUUCAACCUGAGGAUAGACAUCCUCACUUCAGUUUAAAAUAAUCCAGAAGAAGUGUGAUUUCUAUUCCAUAUUCAUUGACUUUUCUAAGACCUAUUAGUAAAUUCAUUAGCUUCUUUAAUCCAGUGAUUCUGGGUAAACCGGCGAAGAAUAUGAAUAUUACGUAUGUAUAUUACCCCUUCUUCUAUCAUUUUUAUUAUUUUCAGAAUAUUCAUAAUGAAUGUUUUGAAUGGGUUAUAUAUAACGACACUGAAUGAGGGUCUAGAGGCUAAAUUAUUGUUCAUCAAUUUCGAAAUUGCCCGGGUUGUAUAAGGAACCAUGCUGGGUAAGUUUACAUCCUAAUACUAUGCAAUAUUAAAUGACCCAUCACCUAAUAAAUACAUCAGAUGUGGUAUUUUAUAUAUAUGACUAGAGAGUUAUGUCCCAGACAAAUAGUGAAACAGAAUGCGUGCAUCAUUUAUAUUGGCAGAAAAAUGCAGAGCAUUUCAUUUGGCAUAGAAAAAGUCAACAACAAGUUGGGGAUUCUUCUUACUGAAAAAUAGAAAUAAAAGCAAGUUUGGGAUUCUUCUUUCUGAAAAAUAAAAAUAAAAGCAAGUUGGGGAGAGAGAGGGUCAAAUGGUUUCAUGUGGUUCCAGUAGUCGCCCGGACUGAUGGAAUUAGGGUUUUCGGGUAUAGGCAUCGUAGUGGCGGUGACGUCCACACUGAUCUUUUCGUGAACUUUUGCUGACGAUAAUCUUGGAAAAUCAAUAUUUUUUAGAUUUUUAAAUUCGUAAAUUAUGAUAUAUACAUGGUUGCAAUUCUCGUUAUUUUGAUACCCAUUAUUUGGUCCCACACCUGAAUAGAUGAGCGGGGGGUUGCAUGUAUGGACCUACUAAAUAUGAAAUUCUAAAUUGCCUUUGGAAAAUAUGUAUGCCAAAUUUAUAAUAUUGGGUGUUCGAAGAACCUCUAUUAUAUUAUAAGGGUGUCAAUUUUUGGUUCCCAUUGGAACGCAUGGGCGCUCUACUAGAAAAUGUGACAAAUUACGUUUCAUUAGAGAUGGCUUUGCAGCGAAUUGCAUAAACGAGGAGUUCAUAAUUUUUUCAUCAAGUUGUACAAUUUUUUUGUUAGGAUAGAAGGGUAAAUGCAUUGGUUGGUUGUUUCAAGAGUUAAUAACGAACACGGUGGUGUAUCUAUUGCAUGCCCAACGGUUGAUAUUGUAUUUUGUUUCAUGGUAAUGCACGAUAUUCAAUAGUAUGAUACAAUGUGGCAAUGACUCAGGAGAGAUCAGAUCUGCCUUCUUGGCUCGGGGGUGGGGGGUGUCAUGAGCGGCGCAUGCCUUCUCCCCCUUUAUAGCAGUGGCGGAUCGACACGAGCCCGAGUGGAGGGGAUCAGGGCGGAGAGCGGGGCGGUUGGCAGGGGACCUUUUGGCGGUCCAUGGGGAAGUAUGGUGUGAAAGAGAGAGGGUGCCACACCGAAGGUGAGGUGGGCGUCAUCCGGUUUUAAAGGAGAGGGCUCCAGCGAGAACUAUUUCACUAUGACGGAAAAGUGGGGGAGGGGCAACAGGAAAAGAGAAGGGUGGGUUGUGUGGUGGUUUUUUUGUUGGGCCCCAUGUUGGAGAUUACAUGAAGAAUAGUUAGGACACCCGCAUUUCUCCCCCACAUAUGGGCUGGAUUUGGGGGAGUUUGAACUGAGAACGUUGAAUUUUGGGGAGCCUAUUGGGUGCUCGUUUGAUGUCGAACAUGCUUGGACGUAUGAGGGAGAAAUGAACUUUGACCUUGAGCCUUAAUCAGUUGUUUGAUACAUUUGUAUGCAAUUUAGCCCGUAGCAACGCACGGGCAUUUUACUAGUUGUAGUAGUAUAUUUCUUUUUACAUGGAUGCGUAUAUGAUGAUGAGUCCUGGCUUGCAUUGUAGUAGUAUACUUCUUUUUGACCUGCGUAUAUGUUUCAGGAGUAGUAGGAUAGGGUUCCAUAUCUGAUUCCGAUUGUAACUAAAAAAGGAUUGUUUAUUCUUGUACAUGCAUGUGUGCAUGUGUGGUCGUGCAUGACUUGUCAUCCUCAUAUCAUCACAUCCGAAUCACAUCGUUUUCCUAUUGCAAUAGUUUUUUUAUUCUAUAUUAUGCGUCAACGUGACAACAUAAGAGUUCAAUAUCGCCGGUACAUAUAUUUUUACGUGACAACAUAAGAGUUCAAUAUCGCCGGUACAUAUAUUUUUACAUGUUACGUAAGAAACUUUAAAUUUGAGCCAUUGUUAUUCUAAUCGAACGGUGUAAAUAAGAUUAGUGUAUGUGGACGAACGUGAUGGCUUGUUUGACUCUUGUCUUAAUUAUAUAAUAGAUAGAUUUCCAUCCUUCAGAUAUAGAUCGGACGGUCUAUAUUGCAAGAC